GUCCCUGGUCACCCCGUGAAGAGGAGAGCUUGACAUGGCCCUGAUUUUCCUGGCAGCCCUGGUGGGACUGGCAGACUUUGGUGCCAUGGGCCAGACCACCGUCACACAGCAAGAGGGACCAGUCACAGUGCAGGAGAGGGGCACCUUCCAGACCACCUGCACCUAUCAGACCUCUUAUUUUAAUAACUUGCUCUGGUACCAGCAGAGGAGAGGCCAAGCCCCCCAGCUGGUCUCAAAUCAGGCAGCAGCUGGCCCCAGGGAGAGUGGCCGAUUCACCACAUGGCUGAACACCACGGGGAAAUACAGCCUCCUGCGACUGGAGGAAGUCAAGGUCUCCGACGCUGCCCUGUACCUCUGUGCUGUGCAAGACACCCUGGCGCAGGAAGCUUCCUGA